GUGAAACUCAAAGGAAUUGACGGGGACCCGCACACGUAGCGGAGCAUGUGGUUUAAUUCGAAGCAACGCGAAGAACCUUACCUAAGCUUGACAUCCCAAUGACAUCUCCUUAAUCGGAGAGUUCCCUUCGGGGCCAUUGGUGACAGGUGGUGCAUGGUUGUCGUCAGCUCGUGUCGUGAGAUGUUGGGUUAAGUCCCGCAACGAGCGCAACCCUUGUCUUUAGUUGCCAUCAUUAAGUUGGGCACUCUAGAGAGACUGCCAGGGAUAACCUGGAGGAAGGUGGGGAUGACGUCAAAUCAUCAUGCC
rnacentral:rRNA from 1 species